rnacentral:rRNA from 1 species
GACGAACGCUGGCGGCGUGCUUAGCACAUGCAAGUCGAACGGAAAGGCCCUGCUUUUGUGGGGUGCUCAAGUGGCGAACGGGUGAGUAACACGUGAGUAACCUGCCCUUGACUUUGGGAUAACUUCAGGAAACUGGGGCUAAUACCGGAUAGGAGCUCCUGCUGCAUGGUGGGGGUUGGAAAGUUUCGGCGGUUGGGGAUGGACUCGCGGCUUAUCAGCUUGUUGGUGGGGUAGUGGCUUACCAAGGCUUUGACGGGUAGCCGGCCUGAGAGGGUGACCGGCCACAUUGGGACUGAGAUACGGCCCAGACUCCUACGGGAGGCAGCAGUGGGGAAUAUUGCACAAUGGGCGGAAGCCUGAUGCAGCAACGCCGCGUGCGGGAUGACGGCCUUCGGGUUGUAAACCGCUUUCGCCUGUGACGAAGCGUGAGUGACGGUAAUGGGUAAAGAAGCACCGGCUAACUACGUG